CCAAAAAUGUCGGUUUAAACCCCUCCUAUACUA
rnacentral:tRNA from 1 species